GUAUUGAGGGCCCGGAGACAAAACGGGGCGAAGCUGAAAGGGGACCUUUCUUUCUUUGCUGCCCGGGAGAUGGAAGGGAGCUGCGCAUCGGGAUUGAAAAGCCGCAGUUAGCCUGGAGAAAUCCAUGGUCCUCCAGCCUGGCCACCUCAAUUAAAAAUGCAUUAAUUAUUCCCAUGGAUUAGUCUCAAACUGGCUCCUCCAUUUCACAAGCAACGUGUCUCACUGCUGGGUGGCUGAGAACAACACUGGAAUCAGUGCCCAGAAGAUUCCUGCUUCCAAGAGAUGGAGCAGCAGCCACUGGUGCUCCAGAUGGAGAUGCAGCUUUGAUUUGUUGGUCUACAAAGGAGCAUUUUUUGGAUGGACUUCAGCAGAACCAACCUUGAUUUCCACCAGAUUUUCUCUCCAGGCAUCUGGGAAAGGGAAUGUGGCUCUAAGCCACAGGAGAGGAACCAACCCUCGAGGGCUUGAAUCAUCUCAUUGUGGACAGCUGAGACCUGCAGGCUCCUGUCUGGGAAUUUUGUGAUGGGAGCAAUGACAUGUCCUCAUGUUUCUCAAAUCUGACCCAAAAAUUGGGUGACUUUUAAUUUUAAACAAAAUUCAGCAAAAAUCAGAUCUAUUUCUAUUUAUUUUUCCUCCCUAGCCUGAUAUCUUUGAAGCCUGGACCCACUUUUCUCUCAGUGGCUAACUAACAUCAAAAAUAAUUUUUUUUUUUUUGCUUUCUUCCUCAUUGGUUUUUGUCCAAACACACCAUAAGUGCUCCAACCUUAUUUUCCUCCCAUCUCUUCUGGACUGCCAUGUGGAGCUGAUGGGCUUGAGUGGAUACAAAAACCUGCCAGGAAAAAACCUGGCACACCUGUAAUCCUGGAACACACCAUCCUGGUGCUUCCCCGACACAGUGAGAGACCAGAGGCAGAAAUCAAUACAGACAGAGGUUUUAUAAUUAAAAAAUUGUGCAUUUUGACAAACAGCUGGCAGUUACACUCAUCCCUCUUCCCCCUUAAUGCAGAAAAUACAUGUCUGGAACCCAGACGUCUGAUUUUCUAAUGCCACGUGUAAUGACCCACAAAGACUGUGCUUGAAUUAACCCCUGUUUUGGCUACCAGACAAGAGCCCAAAGGCAGGCUCACCCUGUACUCGACUCCAUUUGGCCCUAGAGAGAACCAAUCCCCCUUUCCAAGGCAUUAUUUUCAUGGAAAAGACACCAUUUCUAUCUUCUGACUGAAAACGUCUCUGAAAAUCAACAUGUGGGACACAAAGUGAUU